GGCGUCGAUCUAUAGCUGGUCUGAGAGGAUGAUCAGCCACACUGGGACUGAGACACGGCCCAGACUCCUACGGGAGGCAGCAGUGGGGAAUUUUCCGCAAUGGGCGAAAGCCUGACGGAGCAAUACCGCGUGAGGGAGGAAGGCUCUUGGGUUGUAAACCUCUUUUCUCAGGGAAGAAUAAAUGACGGUACCUGAGGAAUAAGCAUCGGCUAACUCCGUGCCAGCAGCCGCGGUAAUACGGAGGAUGCAAGCGUUAUCCGGAAUGAUUGGGCGUAAAGCGUCCGCAGGUGGCUCUGUAAGUCUGCCGUUAAAGAAUGAGGCUCAACCUCAUAAGGGCGGUGGAAACUACAAAGCUGGAGUACGUUCGGGGUAGAGGGAAUUCCUGGUGUAGCGGUGAAAUGCGUAGAGAUCAGGAAGAACACCGGUGGCGAAGGCGCUCUACUAGGCCGUAACUGACACUGAGGGACGAAAGCUAGGGGAGCGAAUGGGAUUAGAUACCCC
rnacentral:rRNA from 1 species